rnacentral:rRNA from 1 species
UUGAACGCUGGCGGCCGGCCUAACACCUGCAAGUCGCGCGGAUGAAGGGAGCUUGCUCCUGGAUUCAGCGGCGGACGGGUGAGUAAUGCCUAGGAAUCUGCCUGGUAGUGGGGGAUAACGUCCGGAAACGGGCGCUAAUACCGCAUACGUCCUGAGGGAGAAAGUGGGGGAUCUUCGGACCUCACGCUAUCAGAUGAGCCUAGGUCGGAUUAGCUAGUUGGUGGGGUAAAGGCCUACCAAGGCGACGAUCCGUAACUGGUCUGAGAGGAUGAUCAGUCACACUGGAACUGAGACACGGUCCAGACUCCUACGGGAGGCAGCAGUGGGGAAUAUUGGACAAUGGGCGAAAGCCUGAUCCAGCCAUGCCGCGUGUGUGAAGAAGGUCUUCGGAUUGUAAAGCACUUUAAGUUGGGAGGAAGGGCAGUAAGUUAAUACCUUGCUGUUUUGACGUUACCAACAGAAUAAGCACCGGCUAACUUCGUG